UGGAGGAUUGAGAAGGUUGAACAGCUUCCUCUGUGCUGUCCUAACUGGUUAUAACCUCCAAGAGCAACCAACAAACGGCACAGCUGAGUCCCUCCGUCGCUGGAACGGACGACGUGUGCGUUUGUGGAACAAAUA